UGGAGAACAGGGCUUCCCGUCCGCUCAGCCGUACUUAAGCCACACGCCGGGAGGUUAGUAGUUGGGUGGGUGACCACCAGCGAAUCCCUCCUGUUGUAUGUA
rnacentral:rRNA from 1 species